rnacentral:lncRNA from 1 species
GGGAGGUGCAAUGAGUAAAAACACGUCAAAAAUGCUCGCAUUGACGUCAAAUUUGUCAGGCAGGUUUCUGUAAAGAAACUAAAUUAAUAUGGAAUUGAAAAAAUAAAAUUUGGUACAUUCCGGUCUGGGUGGGAAUCGAAUCCGGGCCUCCGGGGUGCCAGGUGAGCACGCUUCCGCUACGCCAUGGCGGCUCCACGGUAAUGCUUGACUAAAGUUGUGCUUAGUGCGUGCGUCAUUUCACACGUCACGUCACUGCUUGAGUCACUGCCUCCCACGUGUCACUUGCUCUUCGGAUUUCAUCGGUGCUGUGUCUACUUCGAUGCACUCUCGACGCCAAGUCAUGAGCGUAUGAAAUGAGAUGUGCCUGGUGCGUGCGUCAUUGCACACGUCACGCCGCUGCCUCCCGCGCAUCACUUGCUCUUCCGAUUUCAGCUGUGCUGUGUCUCCUGGGAUGCACUCCGAAGCGUCUAACUCAGCGGCAGCUAUGAAAUAUGGUCGCCCACGGAAGCACGCCUCAGAAUACAAAGCAAGGGAACACA